GCCUGGGUAGCUCAGUCGGUUGAGUGUCUGACUUCGGCUCAGGUCAUGAUCUCAUGGUUUGUGGGUUCAAGCCCCACAUCAGUCU
rnacentral:tRNA from 1 species